GACGAACGCUGGCGGCGUGCCUAAUACAUGCAAGUAGAACGCUGAAGGAGGAGCUUGCUUCUCUGGAUGAGUUGCGAACGGGUGAGUAACGCGUAGGUAACCUGCCUGGUAGCGGGGGAUAACUAUUGGAAAUGAUAGCUAAUACCGCAUAAGAGUAGAUGUUGCAUGACAUUUGCUUAAAAGGUGCAAUUGCAUCACUACCAGAUGGACCUGCGUUGUAUUAGCUAGUUGGUGGGGUAACGGCUUACCAAGGCGACGAUACAUAGCCGACCUGAGAGGGUGAUCGGCCACACUGGGACUGAGACACGGCCCAGACUCCUACGGGAGGCAGCAGUAGGGAAUCUUCGGCAAUGGACGGAAGUCUGACCGAGCAACGCCGCGUGAGUGAAGAAGGUUUUCGGAUCGUAAAGCUCUGUUGUAAGAGAAGAACGAGUGUGAGAGUGGAAAGUUCACACUGUGACGGUAUCUUACCAGAAAGGGACGGCUAACUACGUG
rnacentral:rRNA from 1 species